UAUCGACCAACGUGAACUCAACCAAUCACAUAUGACUACCGGUAAGUUUUAACGGAGUAAUGAAUGUAAGUUUGAUUUUAACUGUUAUCUUAGUAAACGAUAGUGUAACUUUGCCUAUUUUAGUUUAAAUGUUACAUUUAUUCUAAUUCGUGUUAGAAACGUAGUUUGUGUACCAUGUUACAUCAUGUAACUUAUAAUUGUUGCUGAAUGUUAGGGGGCUAAUAACGUACUUCAAAUAUAACGUUUACGAUUAAAUAUGUACGUUUGUUAACGUGUUAACAAGUGUCUAUUGAAUAAUAUAAACUGAAUGUUGUUUGACUGGAUUUAUAGAAGAUACAAGUGCAACACUGUUCAUACUUUUGUGUUUAAUUUUCCAAGUGAUUGUGUGAUAUCCUCCAACUUAUUGAUUUUUUUCUUUUACUAUAACAAUUGACAAAACGGUUAUUUUAACAACUACUCUUCUAUUUCUGCCUUUCAUCUUUUGUGUACCUGACUAUCAGUUAUGACAGGUAAGAAGCCAUUACAUUUCCAAAAUCUUACUAACUUAAGUGAAUUAAUUUUUGUUUUGUUUGUUUGUUUUUAUUUUUAGGAAGAAGCAGUGCACAUCAACCAGGUUGGAAGCAUUCAAGGAUGAGACAAAAUGGCAGGAGAAAGAAGUGCAGAACAUCAGAGUACAUCUUGAACAUCUUGCACAUUCAAUAAUACGCAAACACUGAAAGUCUUUACCCUCACUAACUAUUAUAGUAGCUUUAUGGCAAAUGCCUGCUCCCAUACGAUGCACUUCUGUUUUUAGGGAGCUUAGGCUGUGAUGUUUGGCAGUUGUAGUAAUUUUGGGUUUGUUUAUAAUACCCAAUAGUUGCCAGAUGCUGUCCUGUCAGAAAUUCUUCUUUAUGUGGUCCUGGAGGAGGGUGAUGCUGCAUUGUUAAAUCUCUCUUUGGUUUGUUCCAAAUUCAGAAGUCUGGUGGACAGGCACACUUCUGCUGGCUUGAUGGUGUAACUAAAUGGAGUACAAAGUCAGAGCCAUCCCAGGACCUUUAGAAAAUGUUUACACUGCAGCCGACACUGCAAUGAAGUGUACAAUAACUGCUUACAGGUUAUGUUGGAAGAGGCAAACGAGGAGAGAUGCAAGGCUUUUACUCUGAAAACACCCAUCCAGGGUUUUGCAGUUAGUGGUGCAUGAUGCUACAGGAAGAAUAACUCUGUUUAUUACACGGCUCUCUGGAAUGCUUGAUUCUGAUUGGUCAGUUGAGACAUUUGCAGGUUCGUUCUUUUCGAAUAAUAACCGCUCCAAAAUAAUAACGCAUAGCCGGUACUACUUUACGAGUAAGAUCGCUCCGCGCCAAUAAAGAUCAAUAAAGAUUACUGUUUGUUUGGCGCCAUCUUGUGACAAACACUGGACAACCACAACAAGACACAGAGAGCUUACUGAGACUGAACUUGACAAAAUAGAGCAUGACAGCUACGAAGCCAACACACAAAAAAAUACAGAAUGGGCAUUAAAACUUCUCAAAGACUGGCUAAAAGAGAAAAAAUGGAGAUAGACAAGUAUGAAGCAGAGGAUCUUAAUAAGGUAUUACGAUCAUUUUAUGCAUCUGUGCAAAGUUUCGCGGAAGGAUAAAAAUGUUAAUUUAAAACAAAUAUGCCAAUAAAAUGUUUCAAAUUCAUAUUCAUGUCCAGUUUUUUUUCUUAUGUGACAAGUAGCCGUGUAAUAAGCGGGAUAAU